CAGCAGGCGCGAAAACUUUACAAUGCUGGCAACAGCGAUAAGGGGACCUCGAGUGCCAGGAUACAAUCUUGGCUGUCGUGAUGCCUAAAAAGCAUUACAUAGCAAGGGCCGGGCAAGACCGGUGCCAGCCGCCGCGGUAACACCGGCGGCUCGAGUGGUAACCGCUAUUAUUGGGUCUAAAGGGUCUGUAGCCGGCCGGAUAAGUCUCUUGGGAAAUCCAGCAGCUCAACUGUUGGGCUUCCAGGGGAUACUGUUCGGCUCGAGGCCGGGAGAGGUGAGAGGUACUUCAGGGGUAGGGGUGAAAUCUUGUAAUCCUUGAAGGACCACCAGUGGCGAAGGCGUCUCACCAGAACGGUCCUGACGGCAAGGGACGAAAGCUAGGGGCACGAACCGGAUUAGAUACCCGGGUAGUCCUAGCCGUAAACGAUACUCGCUAGGUGUCAGCCACGGUGCGACCGUGGUUGGUGCCGUAGGGAAGCCGUGAAGCGAGCCACCUGGGAAGUACGGCCGCAAGGCUGAAACUUAAAGGAAUUGGCGGGGGAGCAC
rnacentral:rRNA from 1 species